CACGUAGUUAGCCGCGGCUUUCUGAUUAGGUACCGUCAAGGCGUGCACAGUUACUUACACAUUUGUUCUUCCCUAAUAACAGAGUUUUACGAUCCGAAGACCUUCAUCACUCACGCGGCGUUGCUCCGUCAGGCUUUCGCCCAUUGCGGAAGAUUCCCUACUGCUGCCUCCCGUAGGAGUCUGGACCGUGUCUCAGUUCCAGUGUGGCCGAUCACCCUCUCAGGUCGGCUACGUAUCGUUGCCUUGGUAAGCCAUUACCCCACCAACUAGCUAAUACGGCGCGGGUCCAUCUAUAAGUGAUAGCAAAACCAUCUUUCACUUUAGAACCAUGCGGUUCUAAAUAUUAUCCGGCAUUACGCCCCGGUUUCCCGGAGUUAUUCCAGUCUUAUAGGUAGGUUACCCACGUGUUACUCACCCGUCCGCCGCUAACGUCAAAGGAGCAAGCUCCUUAUCUGUUCGCUCGACUUGCAUGUAUUGGCACGCCGCCAGCGUUUCACUCCCUGACGUCCGAAGGGUACUACCAAAACGUCUUACCG
rnacentral:rRNA from 1 species